rnacentral:rRNA from 1 species
UACGUAGGGUGCAAGCGUUGUCCGGAAUUAUUGGGCGUAAAGAGCUCGUAGGCGGUCUGUCGCGUCGGCUGUGAAAUUCCCGGGGCUCAACCCCGGGCCUGCAGUCGAUACGGGCAGACUAGAGUGCGGUAGGGGAGACUGGAAUUCCUGGUGUAGCGGUGAAAUGCGCAGAUAUCAGGAGGAACACCGGUGGCGAAGGCGGGUCUCUGGGCCGUAACUGACGCUGGAGGAAGCGAAAGGCGUGGGGAGCAAAC